CAAACGACUCUCGGCAACGGAUAUCUYGGCUCACGCAUCGAUGAAGAACGUAGCAAAAUGCGAUACUUGGUGUGAAUUGCAGAAUCCCGUGAACCAUCGAGUUUUUGAACGCAAGUUGCGCCCAAAGCCUUUCGGUCGAGGGCACGUCUGCCUGGGCGUCACAC
rnacentral:rRNA from 1 species